rnacentral:rRNA from 1 species
GAUGAACGCUGACAGAAUGCUUAACACAUGCAAGUCCACUUGAAUUUGGGUUUUUAACUUAGGUUUGGGUGGCGGACGGGUGAGUAACGCGUAAAGAACUUGCCUCACAGCUAGGGACAACAUUUGGAAACGAAUGCUAAUACCUAAUAUUAUGAUAAUAGGGCAUCCUAUAAUUAUGAAAGCUAUAAGCGCUGUGAGAGAGCUUUGCGUCCCAUUAGCUAGUUGGAGAGGUAACGGCUCACCAAGGCGAUGAUGGGUAGCCGGCCUGAGAGGGUGAUCGGCCACAAGGGGACUGAGAGACGGCCCUUACUCCUACGGGAGGCAGCAGUGGGGAAUAUUGGACAAUGGACCGAGAGUCUGAUCCAGCAAUUCUGUGUGCACGAUGAAGUUUUUCGGAAUGUAAAGUGCUUUCAGUUGGGAAGAAACAAAUGACGGUACCAACAGAAGAAGUGACGGCUAAAUACGUG